GUGCAGCAGGCGCGAAACUUUACAAUGUGCGAAAGCACGAUAAGGGAACUCUGAGUGCCUCCUAAGGAGGCUGUUCAGGUGUCUAAAAGCACCUGAAGGAAGGGCUGGGUAAGACCGGUGCCAGCCGCCGCGGUAACACCGGCAGCCCAAGUGGUAGCCACGUUUAUUGGGUCUAAAGCGUCCGUAGCCGGCUGGGUAAGUUCCUUGGGAAAUUUGGCUGCUUAACAGUCAAGCUUUCAGGGAAUACUGCUCGGCUUAGGACCGGGAGAGGUCAGAGGUACUCCAGGGGUAGGGGUGAAAUCCAUUAAUCCUUGGGGGACCACCGGUAGCGAAGGCGUCUGACCAGACCGGGUCCGACGGUGAGGGACGAAGGCUAGGGGCGCGAACCGGAUUAGAUACCC
rnacentral:rRNA from 1 species